GACGAACGCUGGCGGCGUGCUUAACACAUGCAAGUCGAACGGAAAGGCCCUGCUUUUGUGGGGUGCUCGAGUUGCGAACGGGUGAGUAACACGUGAGUAACCUGCCCUUGACUUUGGGAUAACUUCAGGAAACUGGGGCUAAUACCGGAUAGGAGCUCCUGCUGCAUGGUGGGGGUUGGAAAGUUUCGGCGGUUGGGGAUGGACUCGCGGCUUAUCAGCUUGUUGGUGGGGUAGUGGCUUACCAAGGCUUUGACGGGUAGCCGGCCUGAGAGGGUGACCGGCCAAAUUGGGACUGAGAUACGGCCCAGACUACUACGGGAGGCAGCAGUGGGGAAUAUUGCACAAUGGGCGGAAGCCUGAUGCAGCAACGCAGCGUGCGGGAUGACGGCCUUCGGGUUGUAAACCGCUUUCGCCUGUGACGAAGCGUGAGUGACGGUAAUGGGUAAAGAAGCACCGGCUAACUACGUG
rnacentral:rRNA from 1 species